CCGGGCCUACGGGGGGCAGCAGUGGGGAAUAUUGCACAAUGGGGGAAACCCUGAUGCAGCGACGCCGCGUGAAGGAAGAAGUAUUUCGGUAUGUAAAAUUCUAUCAGCAGGGAAGAAAAUGACGGUACCUGACUAAGAAGCCCCGGCUAACUACGUGCCAGCAGCCGCGGUAAUACGUAGGGGGCAAGCGUUCUCCGGAUUUACUGGGUGUAAAGGGAGCGUAGGCGGUGCAGCAAGUCAGAAGUGAAAGCCCGGGGAUC
rnacentral:rRNA from 1 species